rnacentral:tRNA from 1 species
GGGUAGAUGGCGAAAUUGGUAAACGCAUCACACUCAAAAUGUGACAACAUUUGUUUUGUGGGUUCGAAUCCCACUCUACUCA